GUGGGGAAUCUUGCGCAAUGGCCGAAAGGCUGACGCAGCGACGCCGCGUGUGGGAGGAAGCUCUUCGGGGUGUAAACCACUGUUGCCCGGGACGAACACACUCUUUUGAGAGUGCUGACGGUACCGGGUGAGGAAGCACCGGCUAACUCUGUGCCAGCAGCCGCGGUAAUACAGAGGGUGCGAGCGUUGUCCGGAAUCACUGGGCGUAAAGGGCGCGUAGGUGGUGGCUUAAGCGUGCGGUGAAAGCUCGGGGCUCAACCCCGAGUCGGCCGUGCGAACUGGGCUCACUGGAGCAUAGUAGAGGCAGGUGGAAUUCCGGGUGUAGCGGUGGAAUGCGUAGAGAUCCGGAAGAACACCGGUGGCGAAGGCGGCCUGCUGGGCUAUGGCUGACACUGAGGCGCGACAGCGUGGGGAGCAAACAGGAUUAGAAACCCCGGUAGUCC
rnacentral:rRNA from 1 species